UGGGGAAUAUUGGACAAUGGGCGAAAGCCUGAUCCAGCAAUGCCGCGUGUGUGAAGAAGGCCUGCGGGUUGUAAAGCACUUUCAGUAGGGAAGAUAAUGACGGUACCUACAGAAGAAGCACCGGCUAACUCCGUGCCAGCAGCCGCGGUAAUACGGGGGGUGCAAGCGUUAAUCGGAAUUACUGGGCGUAAAGCGCGCGUAGGCGGCUUAUUUAGUCGGAUGUGAAAUCCCCGGGCUCAACCUGGGAAUUGCAUUCGAAACUGGUAGGCUAGAGUAUGGUAGAGGGAAGUGGAAUUUCAGGUGUAGCGGUGAAAUGCGUAGAUAUCUGAAGGAACAUCAGUGGCGAAGGCGACUUCCUGGACCAAUACUGACGCUGAGGUGCGAAAGCGUGGGGAGCAAACA
rnacentral:rRNA from 1 species